GAGGUUUUAUUAUAAUAUAGUAUAUUUUUUUUUCAUAGAAAAGGUUAAAAUCUUA
rnacentral:tRNA from 1 species